rnacentral:rRNA from 1 species
UACGGAGGGGGCGAGCGUUAUUCGGAAUUAUUGGGCGUAAAGGGCGCGUAGGCGGCCAAGUAAGUCAAAGGUGGAAUCCCUCGGCUCAACUGAGGAAUUGCCUUUGAAACUGCGUGGCUUGAGGCCGGGAGGGGGUAGCGGAAUUCCCAGUGUAGCGGUGAAAUGCGUAGAUACUGGGAGGAACACCAGUGGCGAAGGCGGCUACCUGGACCGGUUCUGACGCUGAUGCGCGAAAGCGUGGGGAGCAAACAGG